rnacentral:rRNA from 1 species
GACGAACGCUGGCGGCGUGCUUAACACAUGCAAGUCGAACGGUGACGAGGAGCUUGCUCCUCUGAUCAGUGGCGAACGGGUGAGUAACACGUGAGCAACCUGCCCCAGACUCUGGGAUAACAGUUGGAAACAGCUGCUAAUACCGGAUACGAGACGGAGAGGCAUCUCUACCGUCUGGAAAGUUUUUCGGUCUGGGAUGGACUCGCGGCCUAUCAGCUAGUUGGUGAGGUAAUGGCUCACCAAGGCGACGACGGGUAGCCGGGCCUGAGAGGGCGACCGGCCACACUGGGACUGAGACACGGCCCAGACUCCUACGGGAGGCAGCAGUGGGGAAUAUUGCACAAUGGGCGAAAGCCUGAUGCAGCGACGCCGCGUGAGGGAUGACGGCCUUCGGUUGGUAAACCUCUUCUAGCAGGAGAAGACGAAAGUAGACGGUACCGUCGCAGAAGAAGCAACGGCUAACGUAACGUCGCCGAGCAGCCGCGUAAACGGUACACG